GGAUGCGAUCAUAGCAGCACUAAAGCACCGGAUCCCAACAGAACUCUGAAGUUAAGCAUGCUUGGGCGAGAGUAGUACUAGGAUGGGUGACCUCCUGGGAAGUUCUCGUGUUGCAUUCC
rnacentral:rRNA from 1 species